GGAAGCGUGGCAGAGUGGUCGAUUGCACUGGUCUUGAAAACCAGCGAACCGAGAGGUUCCGUGGGUUCGAAUCCCACCGCUUCCG
rnacentral:tRNA from 1 species